CCACAGUUGUGACACCGGACUGUGGUUGUUAGGUUAGGUGAAGCCAGCUAACUGAAACAAAUCCAGGGCAUGUUGAUCUUGAUUCGUAAUACAGGCCUCAGUACCCGACCGAU